UUCGUUUUAAUGUGAGGACGGGUCGACGUCGGUCGCUCAUUCGUCACACCUGGAGGCUUUGAAUGAGCGCUCAAACAAACUCCAACUCCUCCGUGUUCAUCGACGUCUCUCGGAGGAGUAACAGCCCAUGAAUCACGAGGAGAGGAUCGGCCUGUUGACUUUGUGGAACCGCAAAUGAUCUUGUUCACUCUCUUAUUCCGACGCGGAGGGAUCCAGGUGAACGACACACGGCUGCCGGAUGACACUGACGAGCCAUCAACAGGUGACGAGAGCCAGAAAGAAGAUGAUCAAUAAAAGCUAUUACGACACCAGAGAGACCUGAGACUUUAACCAGGAAUGGACAGACUCGUACAUCUUCAUUCUUCCUACAGGCAGUUUAAACCAGGACGUCUCACAUGUUCAGAGAUCGUGAAGCGUCACUACGAGACAAAGAAGUCUUUUGAGCAAACGCACCCACUCACAUCUGAUAUGAAGUCACAGAAAAUAAAAGAUCUGGGCACAAAUACCCGACAGUGAGAACCCGGAGGCACGCAGGAGGAGCAGGUCUAGCUCCACAACGCCAUCUGAUGGACGGACUGAGGAGCUCUGCUUAAAACACACCAAAGUCAUCACUUUAUCCGACUCAUAAUUUCUGAGCUUAUCCCUCGGUGUCAUUGGAGGGAAGCGUUGAAAACACACGAGGCUCUCACCGGACGUAAAUAAAUACAAUCUAUCACUAAGAACUUCAUUCUUCCAGACAGCAGCGAUGGUACAUUGGGUUUAAUCAAAGUACUGCACCUGGUACUUCUUCUCCAGACUCAGAUAUUGUACUUUUUACAUUAUUUGAGAGUAACCGGUUACGUUAUAAUAUCAAGAUUAAACAUGUAAUACAUGUGAUUAGUGAGGAUCAUAUUGGGAAAACUUGAGUUCCUGAAUCGGGACAAAAUUUGAGAUAUGGGCGUAAAUAUAAAACAAACACGCCCAUGAGACACAAUGAAAGAGACAAGAGAACAAUGUGAGGGGAGAGAACGAGCCCGUGAAAGAGAUUCAGACUGAUUCCACCAAACAACAACCAUGUGUUCAAAGAAAAACCGACCAUAAUAUAAAUGUGAUGCCGGUCCCUCCAAAAGAAAACCGCCUACGUCGUGGUGUUAUUUAUCGUUUCGCUGUUUUGUCAGCAGCAAUGUUCUACAGGGGCCUGUAGUAACUUCCUUCCUUAUGUUAUUGGCUGGAGGCACUGUUGAGGUGCCCUUGAGCAAGGCACCAAACCCCCAAAACCCCCAGAGACCACAGAGCAGCUGGACUCCCCGGUUGUCAUGAAUCGACAGGCUUUUACUUGAUGACAUAAAUGAGACAACGAGCACAAAGCCUCACACUUUACAACCGUUCCCUUCGAGUUCAUUGAAGACACGUUUCAUGAACGAGGCCUCAGCAGGAGGACACAUCACGCUCCACGAUGAGACGUUUGGAACGCGGCCUUCGAUACCAAACAGCUCUGUGCAACACUGAAGCUCCAACUGCUGACACGACGGGUUUAACGUGGAAUCAUUUGUCUCCCUUCUAUUACUCUGUGUGCGUUUUCUAAUCAGUUCCCUGAUUGAGACAUUUAGGGAUUCAUAUCGGCGUGAAGUUAAUUCAGGGAAUGAGAUGAACUCCUGGCGAGAGGAAGGGGGCUGUGGAUGGUGACUGGUAGCACGAAUCCUACAAAUACACAUGAAUUUAUAUAGAAUCACUGACAGCAUAUGAUGCAAGUUGAUAUUCCCAAAGUGUAACGUUUGAAAAUGUUUCUUUAAGAAGAGACUCUACAGGUGAACAUAUUUCACUGACAGAUAUC